CAAUUCAUGCUGGCACCAUCAAAGAGAACUACGGCAGCAGAUGAGAUAAUACUGUACUUACCAAAGUGAUUGCUGAGAUUUGGGGACAUGGCAACAUCACUACAAUGACAUCCAGAAAGGUGUAAAUCCGUAUUGGCUCUGGACCUGACAGGAUACAGAGGGAAUGGCAAA